UGCGUUCAGAGCAGGCCGGAUUUAGG
rnacentral:piRNA from 1 species